rnacentral:rRNA from 1 species
AUAACGACUCUCGGCAACGGAUAUCUCGGCUCUCCCAUCGAUGAAGAACGCAGCGAAAUGCGAUACCUGGUGUGAAUUGCAGAAUCCCGUGAAUCAUCGAGUCUUUGAACGCAAGUUGCGCCCGAGGCCAUUUGGUCUAGGGCACGCCUGCCUGGGUGUCACA